rnacentral:rRNA from 1 species
GUUUGAUCCUGGCUCAGAACGAACGCUGGCGGCAUGCUUAACACAUGCAAGUCGAACGCCUGUAGCAAUACAGGAGCGGCAGACGGGUGAGUAACGCGUGGGAACGUACCCUUUGGUUCGGAACAACACAGGGAAACUUGUGCUAAUACCGGAUAAGCCCUUACGGGGAAAGAUUUAUCGCCGAAAGAUCGGCCCGCGUCUGAUUAGCUAGUUGGUGAGGUAACGGCUCACCAAGGCGACGAUCAGUAGCUGGUCUGAGAGGAUGAUCAGCCACAUUGGGACUGAGACACGGCCCAAACUCCUACGGGAGGCAGCAGUGGGGAAUCUUGCGCAAUGGGCGAAAGCCUGACGCAGCGACGCCGCGUGAGUGAUGAAGGUCUUAGGAUUGUAAAAUUCUUUCACCGGGGACGAUAAUGACGGUACCCGGAGAAGAAGCCCCGGCUAACUUCGUGCCAGCAGCCGCGGUAAUA